GCUGGCUUAGUGUAGCGGUUAUCACGUGUCCUUUACACGGACAAUGUCGCAGGUUCGAACCCUGCAGCUAGCA